UACGGAGGGGACUAGCGUUGUUCGGAAUUACUGGGCGUAAAGCGUGCGCAGGCGGUUGGCCGUGUCCGAUGUGAAAGCCCCGGGCUUAACCUGGGAAUGGCAUUGGAAACUGGCUGGCUGGAGUGUGGCAGAGGGGGGUGGAAUUCCACGUGUAGCAGUGAAAUGCGCAGAUAUCGGGAGGAACACCAAUGGCGAAGGCAGCUUGCUGGGACGGUACUGACGCUGAGGCGCGAAAGCGUGGGGAGCAAACAGG
rnacentral:rRNA from 1 species